AGAGUUUGAUCAUGGCUCAGUAUUGAACGCUGGCGGCAGGCCUAACACAUGCAAGUCGAACGGUAACAGGAAGAAGCUUGCUUCUUUGCUGACGAGUGGCGGACGGGUGAGUAAUGUCUGGGAAACUGCCUGAUGGAGGGGGAUAACUACUGGAAACGGUAGCUAAUACCGCAUAACGUCGCAAGACCAAAGAGGGGGACCUUCGGGCCUCUUGCCAUCGGAUGUGCCCAGAUGGGAUUAGCUAGUAGGUGGGGUAACGGCUCACCUAGGCGACGAUCCCUAGCUGGUCUGAGAGGAUGACCAGCCACACUGGAACUGAGACACGGUCCAGACUCCUACGGGAGGCAGCAGUGGGGAAUAUUGCACAAUGGGCGCAAGCCUGAUGCAGCCAUGCCGCGUGUAUGAAGAAGGCCUUCGGGUUGUAAAGUACUUUCAGCGGGGAGGAAGGGAGUAAAGUUAAUACCUUUGCUCAUUGACGUUACCCGCAGAAGAAGCACCGGCUAACCGG
rnacentral:rRNA from 1 species